rnacentral:rRNA from 1 species
GACGAACGCUGGCGGCGUGCUUAACACAUGCAAGUCGAACGGAAAGGCCCUGCUUUUGUGGGGUGCUCGAGUGGCGAACGGGUGAGUAACACGUGAGUAACCUGCCCUUGACUUUGGGAUAACUUCAGGAAACUGGGGCUAAUACCGGGUAGGAGCUCCCGCUGCAUGGUGGGGGUUGGAAAGUUUCGGCGGUUGGGGAUGGACUCGCGGCUUAUCAGCUUGUUGGUGGGGUAGUGGCUUACCAAGGCUUUGACGGGUAGCCGGCCUGAGAGGGUGACCGGCCACAUUGGGACUGAGAUACGGCCCAGACUCCUACGGGAGGCAGCAGUGGGGAAUAUUGCACAAUGGGCGGAAGCCUGAUGCAGCAACGCCGCGUGCGGGAUGACGGCCUUCGGGUUGUAAACCGCUUUCGCCUGUGACGAGGCGUGAGUGACGGUAAUGGGUAAAGAAGCACCGGCUAACUACGUG